GAUGAACGCUAGCGGCAGGCUUAAUACAUGCAAGUCGAGGGGCAGCACGGUUAGCAAUAACUGGUGGCGACCGGCGCACGGGUGCGUAACACGUAUACAAUCUACCUUAAACAGGGGGAUAGCCUUUCGAAAGAGAGAUUAAUACCCCGUAAUAAAUUGAACGGCAUCGUUUGAUUUUGAAAGCUCCGGCGGUUUGAGAUGAGUAUGCGUCUGAUUAGCUAGUUGGUGAGGUAACGGCUCACCAAGGCGACGAUCAGUAGGGGGAUCUGAGAGGACUAACCCCCACACUGGUACUGAGACACGGACCAGACUCCUACGGGAGGCAGCAGUAAGGAAUAUUGGUCAAUGGAGGCAACUCUGAACCAGCCAUGCCGCGUGCAGGAUGACGGCCCUAUGGGUUGUAAACUGCUUUUAUACAAGAGAAAAACCCUGGUACGUGUACCAGGUUGAUAGUAUUAGUAAGAAUAAGCAUCGGCUAAACUUCGUGCCAGCAGCCGCGGUAAU
rnacentral:rRNA from 1 species